rnacentral:lncRNA from 1 species
CUAUAAAGGGCAAUAACUCCUAAAGGGGUCAACUGACCAUUUCCGUCAUGUUGACUUAUUUGUCAAUCUUACUUUGCUGAACAUUAUUCCUGUUUACAGUUUAUCUCUAUCUAUAAUAAUAUUCAAGAUAAUAACCAAAAACAGCAAAAUUUCCUUAAAAUUACCAAUUCAGGGGCAGCAACCCAACAACGGGUUGUCUGAUUCAUCUUAAAAUUUCAGGGCAGAUAGAUCUUGACCUGAUAAACAUUAUUACCCCAUGUCAGAUUUGCUCUAAAUGCUUUGGUUUUUAGUUAUAAGCCAAAAACUGCAUUUGACCCCUAUGUUCUAUUUUUAGCAAUGGCGACCAUGUUUGUUGAUAGAUCAAAACUUCGGAUACAAUUUAUAAAUAAGAUACCCUAAGGAACAUUCAGUUAAAGUUUGAAAGUAUUUGGCCCAGUAGUUUCAGAGGAGGAGAUUCUUGAAAUAGUUUACGACGACAGACGACGGACGCCAAGUGAUGGCAUAAGCUCACUUGUCCCUUCGGGACAGGUGAGCUAACAAU